AUAGCCGUCUCUGGCUCGUGCUCUCAUGUCAUCUCAGAGUUCCAGCUUAUCAGAGGCAUGUAGCAGGGAGGCUUAUUCCAGCCAUAACUGGGCUCUACCUCCAGCCUCCAGAAGUAAUCCCCAACCUGCAUAUCCUUGGGCAACCCGAAGAAUGAAAGAAGAAGCUAUAAAACCCCCUUUGAAAGCUUUCAUGAAGCAGAGGAGGAUGGGUCUGAACGACUUUAUUCAGAAGAUUGCCAAUAACUCCUAUGCAUGCAAACACCCUGAAGUUCAGUCCAUCUUGAAAAUCUCCCAACCUCAGGAGCCUGAGCUUAUGAAUGCCAACCCUUCUCCUCCAGUAAGUUUUUGUAUGUGCCGUGCAUCUGUGGAGAACUGUAAGGGAGUCAGUUAGUAUUCCUACAUUAAUGGAUUAAAAUAGCAUUUCUAGAAAUUAGUAUCAAGGCAGGAAUGCUUCAUUAUGGCAUAACAAGUGAUAUAAAUAUUUAAGUAUUGAGUCAGAGUAUUAUUUUUUUUCCUGGGCAUAUUUUACUUCCAAAG
rnacentral:sRNA from 1 species